AAGAAGAACAUAUCUGAGAGUAACUGUUCAGGUAUUGACGGUAUUUAACCAGAAAGCCACGGCUAACUACGUGCCAGCAGCCGCGGUAAUACGUAGGUGGCAAGCGUUGUCCGGAUUUAUUGGGCGUAAAGCGAGCGCAGGCGGUUUUUUAAGUCUGAUGUGAAAGCCUUCGGCUCAACCGAAGAAGUGCAUCGGAAACUGGGAAACUUGAGUGCAGAAGAGGACAGUGGAACUCCAUGUGUAGCGGUGAAAUGCGUAGAUAUAUGGAAGAACACCAGUGGCGAAGGCGGCUGUCUGGUCUGUAACUGACGCUGAGGCUCGAAAGUAUGGGUAGCAAACAGGAUUAGAUACCCUGGUAGUCCAUACCGUAAACGAUGAAUGCUAAGUGUUGGAGGGUUUCCGCCCUUCAGUGCUGCAGCUAACGCAUUAAGCAUUCCGCCUGGGGAGUACGGCCGCAAGGCUGAAACUCAAAGGAAUUGACGGGGGCCCGCACAAGCGGUGGAGCAUGUGGUUUAAUUCGAAGCUACGCGAAGAACCUUACCAGGUCUUGACAUACUAUGCAAAUCUAAGAGAUUAGACGUUCCCUUCGGGGACAUGGAUACAGGUGGUGCAUGGUUGUCGUCAGCUCGUGUCGUGAGAUGUUGGGUUAAGUCCCGCAACGAGCGCAACCCUUAUUAUCAGUUGCCAGCAUUAAGUUGGGCACUCUGGUGAGACUGCCGGUGACAAACCGGAGGAAGGUGGGGAUGACGUCAAAUCAUCAUGCCCCUUAUGACCUGGGCUACACACGUGCUACAAUGGAUGGUACAACGAGUUGCGAACUCGCGAGAGUAAGCUAAUCUCUUAAAGCCAUUCUCAGUUCGGAUUGUAGGCUGCAACUCGCCUACAUGAAGUCGGAAUCGCUAGUAAUCGCGGAUCAGCAUGCCGCGGUGAAUACGUUCCCGGGCCUUGUACACACCGCCCGUCACACCAUGAGAGUUUGUAACACCCAAAGUCGGUGGGGUAACCUUUUAGGAACCAGCCGCCUAAGGUGGGACAGAUGAUUAGGGUGAAGUCGUAACAAGGUAGCCGUAGGAGAACCUGCGGCUGGAUCACCUCCUUU
rnacentral:rRNA from 1 species